rnacentral:rRNA from 1 species
AUUGAACGCUGGCGGCAUGCUUUACACAUGCAAGUCGAACGGCAGCGGGGCUUCGGCCUGCCGGCGAGUGGCGAACGGGUGAGUAAUGCAUCGGAACGUGCCCAGUCAUGGGGGAUAACUACGCGAAAGCGUAGCUAAUACCGCAUACGCCCUGAGGGGGAAAGUGGGGGAUCUUCGGACCUCACGUGAUUGGAGCGGCCGAUGUCGGAUUAGCUAGUUGGUGGGGUAAAAGCCACCAAGGCGACGAUCCGUAGCGGGUCUGAGAGGAUGAUCCGCCACACUGGGACUGAGACACGGCCCAGACUCCUACGGGAGGCAGCAGUAGGGAAUUUUCGGCAAUGGGGGAAACCCUGACCGAGCAAUGCCGCGUGAACGAUGAAGGUCUUCGGAUUGUAAAGUUCUGUGAUUGGGGAAGAAUGGUAUUCUUAGGGAAUGAGGAGUACAUGACGGUACCCGAUUAGAAAGCCCCGGCUAACUAUGUGCCAGCAGCCGCGGUAAUUCACUA